rnacentral:rRNA from 1 species
CAACGAUUAAAACCCUACGUGAUCUGAGUUCAGACCGGAGUAAUCCAGGUCAGUUUCUAUCUAUAAAGAGCUUUUUCUAGUACGAAAGGACCGAAAAAGCAUGGCCUCUAUAAAAUAUAAGCCUUAGCUAAUAACUUAUGACUCAAACUCAAUAAAAUCAUAGCCUAACACCACCCUCAAGACAAGAGUA